rnacentral:rRNA from 1 species
AGAGUUUGAUCCUGGCUCAGGAUGAACGCUGGCGGCGUGCCUAACACAUGCAAGUCGAACGGAGUUCUUAAGGAAUGCGACUUCGGUCAAAUGACUUUUGAACUUAGUGGCGGACGGGUGAGUAACGCGUGAGCAACCUGCCUUUCAGAGGGGGAUAACAUUUGGAAACAGAUGCUAAUACCGCAUAAGAUUACAGUACCGCAUGAUACAGUGAUCAAAGGAGCAAUCCGCUGAAAGAUGGGCUCGCGUCCGAUUAGAUAGUUGGUGAGGUAACGGCUCACCAAGUCGACGAUCGGUAGCCGGACUGAGAGGUUGAACGGCCACAUUGGGACUGAGACACGGCCCAGACUCCUACGGGAGGCAGCAGUGGGGAAUAUUGCACAAUGGGCGAAAGCCUGAUGCAGCAACGCCGCGUGAGGGAAGACGGUUUUCGGAUUGUAAACCUCUGUUUUCGGUGACGAAUAAAUGACGGUAACCGAGUAGGAAGCCACGGCUAACUACGUGCCAGCAGCCGCGGUAAUACGUAGGUGGCAAGCGUUAUCCGGAAUUACUGGGUGUAAAGGGAGCGCAGGCGGGAUAGCAAGUCAGCUGUGAAAACUAUGGGCUCAACCCAUAAACUGCAGUUGAAACUGUUAUUCUUGAGUGGAGUAGAGGCAAGCGGAAUUCCGAGUGUAGCGGUGAAAUGCGUAGAUAUUCGGAGGAACACCAGUGGCGAAGGCGGCUUGCUGGGCUCUAACUGACGCUGAGGCUCGAAAGUGUGGGGAGCAAACCAGGAUUAGAUACCCUGGUAGUCCACACUGUAAACGAUGA